rnacentral:rRNA from 1 species
AAUGAACGCUGGCGGCAGGCUUAACACAUGCAAGUCGAGCGGAGAGAAGUAGCUUGCUACUGAUCUUAGCGGCGGACGGGUGAGUAAUGCUUAGGAAUCUGCCUAUUAGUGGGGGACAACAUUUCGAAAGGAAUGCUAAUACCGCAUACGUCCUACGGGAGAAAGCAGGGGAUCUUCGGACCUUGCGCUAAUAGAUGAGCCUAAGUCGGAUUAGCUAGUUGGUGGGGUAAAGGCCUACCAAGGCGACGAUCUGUAGCGGGUCUGAGAGGAUGAUCCGCCACACUGGGACUGAGACACGGCCCAGACUCCUACGGGAGGCAGCAGUGGGGAAUAUUGGACAAUGGGCGCAAGCCUGAUCCAGCCAUGCCGCGUGUGUGAAGAAGGCCUUAUGGUUGUAAAGCACUUUAAGCGAGGAAGAGGCUACUGAAGUUAAUACCUUCAGAUAGUGGACGUUACUCGCAGAAUAAGCACCGGCUAACUCUGUGCCAGCCGCCGCCGUAAAAC